rnacentral:lncRNA from 1 species
GUUGGGCAAAUAGAUUGCAUGCCUGGUAUGCAGUAGGUUCCUAACUGUUAAGUGAACUGGGGAUUCUAGAUGCUAUACAUGAAACUUACUCAAUUGCUUUCAAAACAUAAUUUCCCUGUAGCAUUGGAAUCUAUUGAAAAUACAACCAUUUUUCCUAAUGAAAUAUCUGAUCACCACUAUUUGAUUAAGAGAUGUGGACUCAAACAGGAUUAUCAAAGUGUUGCCAUAUAUAUGUAAAUCACACAUGAAAACUAGUCUAACAUUCUGUCCACUAAUGGAGAUUUAGUGAAAGGAAUCUCUUUGGCCAGAGCUUUUCUGGUGGAGGAAUACAUUAAAAACAUUAACAACCAGCUUUCUCCAUUUUAGGCUGCCAUUUUUUCCCUAAGAGCUGCUACACAUUAAGUAUACCUAAAUUGCCUUUCUGAAAUACGGGAACACGAGAGUAUUGUCAGUAAAAUGGUCUGUGUUGAUU